rnacentral:lncRNA from 1 species
ACUCCCUCCCACACACCCAGGAGCUCCAGCCUGUUAUGGGAUGGGCAUCCUACCAGGAACCAAGGAUGCUAAGCUGAAGACAACCAUCAAGGCAUUUUUUCCCAAAAAGCACAGAAGGAGAUUCAAUCAUCAAAUGAGAGGCCUCACUCACCUCUGCAUAUUGGCCCUUAUCCUUUGAAAGAGAAUAAAGUAACAGCUGCUAUUCUUUCAGCCAAGAAAGGGCCACUGGAACAGGUCCAGAAGGAAAGAAAAGAGUGAUGGCAACUGCUGAUUCAAGAAGAUUGUUCUGUUUCAGUUUUUAUUUUAUUUUAGAUGUACCCCUUCUCCACAAUGAGUUUCUCAUACACGCAUCUAAUGAAAGACGCCUGUUCUCAACCCUCCUAGAAUUUCAAGAUGGGCAAACUUACAAGGAAAGCAAGGAUGAGUGCUAAUAUGUACCAUAUUCAUGUGAAUAUAAGUUUUUUUAAUAAGAAAAUCAAACUCUAAAAAUA